rnacentral:misc_RNA from 1 species
AACGCAAAUUGCGCUCGAGGCUUCGGCCAAGAGCAUGUCUGCCUCAGCGUCGGGUUAAAACUCACAUGUCUCAUUAAUUAAUUAAUGAGCACGUGGAACUGACUCUCCCUUGUGUUAUAUUUAAUUAUAUAGCACGUGGGUUAGUUGAAGUUUGCAGCUGCUGCAUCAUGGACCCGUUAAAUGGGCCUCUACUGGGUAAGGCAGUUUUUAAUUGCUCUAAUGCUUUAGUAGAUGGCUUGGGGUUUAUGCUUGUGUGCCGGCACGAACCAGGAAUUAAUAUUUUUAUAUUAAUAAUAUUCUUUUUCUCGACCUGAGCUCAGGCAAGAUUACCCGCUGAACUUAA